AGAGUUUGAUCCUGGCUCAGGAUGAACGCUGGCGGCGUGCCUAACACAUGCAAGUCGAACGGCAGCAUGUCCUGUAGCAAUACAGGAUGAUGGCGAGUGGCGGACGGGUGCAAAACGCGUAAAUAAUCUUCCCUUUAGACGGACAUAACCUUGAGAAAUCAGGGCUAAUUUCCGAUAAGUUCCCGAGGUCGCAUGAUCUUGGGAGGAAAUCCCGCAAGGGGCUGAAGGAUGAGUUUGCGUCUGAUUAGCUAGUUGGCGGGGUAAUGGCCCACCAAGGCGAUGAUCAGUAGCUGGUCUGAGAGGACGGACAGCCACACUGGGACUGAGAUACGGCCCAGACUCCUACGGGAGGCAGCAGUGGGGAAUAUUGCUCAAUGGGCGAAAGCCUGAAGCAGCGACGCCGCGUGAACGAAGAAGUCCUUCGGGAUGUAAAGUUCUUUCGACAGGGAAAAUAAUGAUGGUACCUGGAGAAGAAGGCCCGGCUAACUAUGUGCCAGCAGCCGCGGUAAUACAUAGGGGCCAAGCGUUAUCCGGAUUUAUUGGGCGUAAAGCGCGUGUAGGUGGUCGACUAAGUCAGGCGUCAAAUCUAGAGGCUCAACCUCUAAUCGCGCCUGAAACUGAUCGACUUCGAGGGAGGGAGAGGAUAGCGGAACUCACAGUGUAGCGGUGAAAUGCGUAGAUAUUGUGAGGAACACCAGUGGCGAAGGCGGCUAUCUGGACCUUUUCUGACGCUGAGACGCGAAAGCGUGGGGAGCAAACAGGAUUAGAUACCCUGGUAGUCCACGCUGUAAACGAUGUUC
rnacentral:rRNA from 1 species